rnacentral:misc_RNA from 1 species
GAUGAAGAACGUAGCGAAAAGCGAUAAGUAAUGUGAAUUGCAGAAUUCAGUGAAUCAUCGAGUCUUUGAACGCACAUUGCGCCCCCUGGUAUUCCGGGGGGCAUGCCUGUCCGAGCGUCAUUGCUGCCCUCAAGCACGGCUUGUGUGUUGGGCCCCGUCCUCCGAUCCCGGGGGACGGGCCCGAAAGGCAGCGGCGGCACCGCGUCCGGUCCUCGAGCGUAUGGGGCUUUGUCACCCGCUCUGUAGGCCCGGCCGGCGCUUGCCGAUCAACCCAAAUUUUUAUCCAGGUUGACCUCGGAUCAGGUAGGGAUACCCGCUGAACUUAAGCAUAUCAAUAAGCGGAGGA